rfam:Cavia porcellus supercont2_0 genomic scaffold, whole genome shotgun sequence.
GGGGAUUUAGCUCAGCGGCAUAAGCGCCUGCCUUGUAGGCAGGCAGUCGUGAGUUCAAUCCCUG